GCCUACGGGCGGCUGCAGUGGGGAAUAUUGCACAAUGGGCGAAAGCCUGAUGCAGCGACGCCGCGUGAGGGAUGACGGCCUUCGGGUUGUAAACCUCUUUCAGCAGGGAAGAAGCGCAAGUGACGGUACCUGCAGAAGAAGCACCGGCUAACUACGUGCCAGCAGCCGCGGUAAUACGUAGGGUGCGAGCGUUGUCCGGAAUUAUUGGGCGUAAAGAGCUUGUAGGCGGUUUGUCGCGUCUGCUGUGAAAAUCCGGGGCUCAACUCCGGACUUGCAGUGGGUACGGGCAGACUAGAGUGUGGUAGGGGAGACUGGAAUUCCUGGUGUAGCGGUGGAAUGCGCAGAUAUCAGGAGGAACACCGAUGGCGAAGGCAGGUCUCUGGGCCACUACUGACGCUGAGAAGCGAAAGCAUGGGGAGCGAACAGGAUUAGAUACCCGUGUAGUCGC
rnacentral:rRNA from 1 species